GCUUCAGCUGCGACUGUAUCGUGGUUUUUGUGAUCGUCCAUCGUACACAGAGCAAACGUCACACUUCACAUCUCCAAGUCCAGCAGGAACAGAAGCUUGGAGUUUAGUCUUCUGGAGUUGCUCCACUAAUUCAGCAAGAAUGGAGUUUUUAUUUAAAGCAGGUCUUGGACUGAAUGUUUGUCUGCAUUGAGGGCAGCUGUAGACUCCCUUCUCGUCCUCCUGAUCCCAGCAAUCUGUAACACAGCUCAUACAGUAACUGUGUCCACACGGAAUGGCCACCGGAUCCUUUAGUAGAUCCAGACAUACAGGACAGAUGAACUAGUCUUGAGAAAAACCAACUUCUGCCAUUUCGCUG
rnacentral:lncRNA from 1 species